GACAGAGGGUGCGAACGUUGCUCGGAAUUACUGGGCGUAAAGCGCGUGUAGGCGGGUGAUCAAGUCAGGUGUGAAAUCCCCAGGCUCAACCUGGGAACUGCACUUGAAACUGGUCGCCUUGAGUGUUGGAGAGGGAAGCGGAAUUCCUGGUGUAGAGGUGAAAAUUCGUAGAUAUCAGGAGGAACACCGGUGGCGAAGGCGGCUUCCUGGACA
rnacentral:rRNA from 1 species